GGGGGAGCCACGGACGUCGAUCCCAUGCCAUGAGGACGCUGUACAUAAAACCUGGAUGCAAAGUAGCUUUCUGGACUGUACAGUCAUCGAGGUACUGGAGAAAGGUCCUAGAUUGCAAGCUCCAGCGAGAGAUUCUGCCCCCAGGACCCUACGCCACAAACCAAGAAUCUGAGUUUAAAAAACCCCAAGCAAACAGAAAAAGGGAAACCUUCUCCCAACUGGACCACGUCCACAAGAAUGAGAGAUUCCAAGGCAAAAGCAAAGUCACCAAUGUUCCUGAGCAGCCAGAUAGUGCUGAAAAGCUGCACCUCAGAGGCAGUUCUUCACCUCUGGUAACUUGUCUAGACUAGGAUUUAAGGAGUGUUGUUAGCACAUUUCUGCUAACAAGCUAACAAAUGCAUCUGAAAAGUCUAAUGAAGACACUGUCUUUAGCAUACACUAAGCUGGAUGAGAUUAAAGGAUCGUCUACAUGCGAAAAUUAUACUGGCAUAAGCCAAGUUGUGAAUGUAAAUCUCUAUGGUUAUGUCAAUAUAACCCCUUGUGGCCAUACGUAUUCUAGUACAAGGCCCUGUCUACACUUCACCUGCAUCUACACUGUGGGUUAGAGCAGUGUAGCCACAGCGCCAUAGAUAUGCUGCUGC